ACGCUGGCGGCGUGCCUAAUACAUGCAAGUAGAACGCUGAAGAGAGGAGCUUGCUCUUCUUGGAUGAGUUGCGAACGGGUGAGUAACGCGUAGGUAACCUGCCUUGUAGCGGGGGAUAACUAUUGGAAACGAUAGCCAAUACCGCAUAACAAUAGGUGACACAUGUCAUUUAUUUGAAAGGGGCAAUUGCUCCACUACAAGAUGGACCUGCGUUGUAUUAGCUAGUAGGUGAGGUAACGGCUCACCUAGGCGACGAUACAUAGCCGACCUGAGAGGGUGAUCGGCCACACUGGGACUGAGACACGGCCCAGACUCCUACGGGAGGCAGCAGUAGGGAAUCUUCGGCAAUGGGGGCAACCCUGACCGAGCAACGCCGCGUGAGUGAAGAAGGUUUUCGGAUCGUAAAGCUCUGUUGUAAGUCAAGAACGAGUGUGAGAGUGGAAAGUUCACACUGAGACGGUAGCUUACCAGAAAGGGACGGCUAACUACGUGCCAGCAGCCGCGGUAAUACGUAGGUCCCGAGCGUUGUCCGGAUUUAUUGGGCGUAAAGCGAGCGCAGGCGGUUUGAUAAGUCUGAAGUUAAAGGCUGUGGCUCAACCAUAGUUCGCUUUGGAAACUGUCAAACUUGAGUGCAGAAGGGGAGAGUGGAAUUCCAUGUGUAGCGGUGAAAUGCGUAGAUAUAUGGAGGAACACCGGUGGCGAAAGCGGCUCUCUGGUCUGUAACUGACGCUGAGGCUCGAAAGCGUGGGGAGCGAACAGGAUUAGAUACCCUGGUAGUCCACGCCGUAAACGAUGAGUGCUAGGUGUUGGAUCCUUUCCGGGAUUCAGUGCCGCAGCUAACGCAUUAAGCACUCCGCCUGGGGAGUACGACCGCAAGGUUGAAACUCAAAGGAAUUGACGGGGGCCCGCA
rnacentral:rRNA from 1 species